rnacentral:rRNA from 1 species
AGUGAACGCUGGCGGUAUGCCUAACACAUGCAAGUCGAACGGCAGCACAGUAAGAGCUUGCUCUUACGGGUGGCGAGUGGCGGACGGUUGAGGUAUACAUCGGAAUCUACUUUUUCGUGGGGGAUAACGUAGGGAAAUUUACGCUAAUACCGCAUACGACCUACGGGUAAAAGCAGGGGAUCUUCGGACCUUUCGCGAUUGAAUGAGCCUAUGUCGGAUUAGCUAGUUGGCGGGGUAAAGGCCCACCAGAGCGACGAUCCGUAGCUGGUCUGAGAGGAUGAUCAGCCAGACUGGAACUGAGACACGGUCCAGACUCCUACGGGAGGCCGCAGUGGGGAAUAUUGCACAAGGGGCGAAAGCCUGAUCUAGCCAUACCGCGUGGGUGAAGAAGGCCUUCGGGUUGUAAAGCCCUUUUGUUGGGAAAGAAAAGCAGCAGGUUAAUACCCCGCUGUUCUGACGGUACCCAAAGAAUAAGCACCGGCUAACUUCGUG